CCUACGGGAGGCAGCAGUGGGGAAUAUUGCGCAAUGGGGGAAACCCUGACGCAGCAACGCCGCGUGAGUGAGGAAGGACUUCGGUCUGUAAAGCUCUGUUAAUGAGGAAAAAUGGUAGUUGGUCUAAUAGGCCGAUUAUUUGAUGGUACUCAUAGAGGAAGCACCGGCUAACUUCGUGCCAGCAGCCGCGGUAAUACGAAGGGUGCAAGCGUUGUUCGGAUUUAUUGGGCGUAAAGCGCGCGUAGGCGGACCUGCAAGUAAGAUGUGAAAUCUCGAGGCUCAACCUCGAAACUGCGUCUUAAACUACAGGUCUAGAAUCUCGGAGGGGGAAGGGGAAUUUCGCAUGUAGGGGUAAAAUCCGUAGAUAUGCGAAGGAACACCAGAGGCGAAGGCGCCUUCCUGGACGAGUAUUGACGCUGAGGCGCGAAAGCGUGGGGAUCAAACAGGAUUAGAUACCCUGGUAGUCCACGCUGUAAACGAUGAACACUAGGUAUUGGAGGAUUUGACCCCUUCAGUGCCGUAGCUAACGCGUUAAGUGUUCCGCCUGGGAAGUACGGUCGCAAGCUAAAACUCAAAUGAUGAGNGNGAGAGNGCGACGACGACGACGAGGAGGAGG
rnacentral:rRNA from 1 species